rnacentral:rRNA from 1 species
GAUGAACGCUAUCGGCGGCCUAACACAUGCAAGUCCAGGGGCAUCACGUGAAUCACUUCGGUGGUUUUGGUGGCGACCGGCGGACGGGUGCGUAACGCGUAUGCAACCUACCUUUUACAGGGGGAUAACGGAUGGAAACGUCCACUAAUACCCCAUAACAUCAUGAACGGCAUCGUUUGUGGUUGAAAACUCCGGUGGUCUAGAUGGGCAUGCGUUGUAUUAGGUAGUUGGUGAGGUAACGGCUCACCAAGCCUACGGUACAUAGGGGGACUGAGAGGUUAGCCCCCCACACUGGUACUGAGACACGGACCAGACUCCUACGGGAGGCAUCAAUGAAGAAUAUUGGUCAAUGGGGGCAACCCUGAACCAACCAUGCCGCGUGCAGGAAGACGGUUCUAUGAGUUGUAAACUGCUUUUAUAGAUGGAUAAAUGUGAGUACGUGUACUCAUUUGAAGGUAGUCUAUGAAUAAGGAUCGGCUAACUCCGUGCCAGCAGCCGCGGUAAUACGGAGGAUCCAAGCGUUAUCCGGAUUUAUUGUGCUUAAAGGGUGCGUAGGCGGCACAGUAAGUUAGCGGUGAAAUCGGUGGGCUCAACCUCUCAACUGCCGUUAAAACUGCUGAGCUAGGGAGUAGAUGCGGUAGGCGGAAUGUGUAGAGUAGCGGUGAAAUGCUUAGAGAUUACACAGAACCGCCGAUUGAGACGGCAGCUUUCCACUCUAUGUCGGACGUUGAGGCACGAAAGCGUGGGUAGCAAACAGGAUUAGAUACCGUGGUAGUGCACGCAGUAAACGAUGAUAGCUCGUAGUCGGCGAUACACAGUCGGUGAGUUAGCGAAAGCGUACAGCUAUCCACCUGGGGAGUACGUUCGCAAGAAUGAAACUCAAAGGAAUUGACGGGGGCCGGCACAAGCGGAGGAACAUGUGGUUUAAUUCGAUGAUACGCGAGGAACCUUACCCGGGCUUGAAAGUUAGUGACGGACAUGGAAACAUGUCUUCCCUUCGGGGCACGAAAUUAGGUGCUGCAUGGUUGUCGUCAGCUCGUGCCAUGAGGUGUCGGAUUAAGUUCCAUAACGAGCGCAACCCUCGCCGUUAGUUGCCAUCAAGUGAUGUUGGGCACUAUAACGGGACUGCCGGUGUAAGCCGAGAGGAAGGUGGGGAUGACGUCAAAUCAGCACGGCCUUUAUGUCCGGGGCGACACACGUGUUACAAUGGUCGGUACAGAGGGCAGCUACCCAGCGAUGGGAUGGGAAUCUCGAAAGCCGAUCUCAGUUCGGAUCGGAGGCUGAAACUCGCAUCCGUGAAGUUGGAUUCGCUAGUAAUCGCGCAUCAGCCAUGGCUCGGUGAAUACGUUCCCGGCCCUUGUACACACCGCCCGUCAAGCCAUGGAAGCCGGGGGUGCCUGAAGUACGCGACCGCAAGGAGCGUCAUAGGGCAAAACUGGUGACUGGGGUC